AGUAGAAAUUUGCCAAAGUAGUGUGUUAAUUAACUUUCAGUCUAUUUGGCCAAUUUCUACUUU
rnacentral:pre_miRNA from 1 species